UGAACGCCCUACUUUACUUGUGCACCGUGACCUACAGGGGCAGUUUCCUUUGGCGUACAGGUAUAACGUGCGGUACGCUAAGUACCGAUCAGCGACGCGCCAUCGUGAGUUUUACCGAAAUGAGCUUGAUGGCCUCCAACACGAACAGUUCAAGUGGAGACCCUAUACACCGCCGGAGCUGGAUAUGCAUUCUCUUGCACCCAUCUGCCGAGAUAGUCC